rnacentral:misc_RNA from 1 species
CUGAGGAUACAAAGUUCCAUGCUCUCCGGAGCAGGUUCUUUCUCCCAGAAAACCCUUUGUGAAUAAUACCUUUACCAGUUGCCUCGGCGCAGGUUGGCUUCCCUACGAAGCCCCUUCUGAAUUCCGGUUCAGUGGAGCAGACCGGCCGAUGGCCCCCUAAACUCUUGUUUUUGUAAAAUCAUCUGAGUAACAAACAACUAAAUGAAUCA